CAGUGCAAAUUUAUAUCAGCUGGUUCAGUCACAACUGAUGGCCUAAAAAAGGUGUCUCAUGACCAAGGUGACACACAAGAAACAUCUCAUGAUAAAUUAAAGCAAAGAACUCAUUCAAG